rnacentral:rRNA from 1 species
AUUGAACGCUGGCGGAAUGCUUUACACAUGCAAGUCGAACGGCAGCACGGGGGCAGCCCUGGUGGCGAGUGGCGAACGGGUAAGUAAUACAUCGGAACGUGCCCGGUCGUGGGGGAUAACGUAGCGAAAGUUACGCUAAUACCGCAUACGAUCUGAGGAUGAAAGCGGGGGACCUUCGGGCCUCGCGCGAUCGGAGCGGCCGAUGUCAGAUUAGGUAGUUGGUGGGGUAAAGGCCUACCAAGCCGACGAUCUGUAGCUGGUCUGAGAGGACGACCAGCCACACUGGGACUGAGACACGGCCCAGACUCCUACGGGAGGCAGCAGUGGGGAAUUUUGGACAAUGGGCGCAAGCCUGAUCCAGCCAUUCCGCGUGCAGGACGAAGGCCUUCGGGUUGUAAACUGCUUUUGUACGGAACGAAAAGGCUCUGGCUAAUACCUGGGGCUCAUGACGGUACCGUAAGAAUAAGCACCGGCUAACUACGUG